ACGACUCUCGGCAACGGAUAUCUCGGCUCUCGCAUCGAUGAAGAACGAAGCGAAAUGCGAUACUUGGUGUGAAUUGCAGAAUCCCGCGAACCAUCGAGUUUUUGAACGCAAGUUGCGCCCAAAGCCUUUCGGCCGAGGGCACGUCUGCCUGGGUGUCACGCAACAU
rnacentral:rRNA from 1 species